rnacentral:misc_RNA from 1 species
CUGAAAUAACAGCGCCCGUGUGCCUCUCGUUUCCCGCUUUGCUCCCACGAGCCUUCCUCGCUCUUCCUCUGCUGGCCGCCGCACUGCGGCUCCCGCCUCCGCCUCCCCCGGCCGCACAGUUGAGGCGCGUCAUCGCCGGCCACUCUGCUCUCCGCUCUCCUGUACGCAUCGGCUCUUGCCUGCCGCUCUGCCCAAGGUGUCUGCGCUGGAAUGGGCAACAGGCAGUCCUCGGUGCCCUUGGAGGGCGAAGGGCACCCGGAGGUGUUUUACCGCGGCGUGAAGGCCGCGCAAGAAGGCCGCUUCACCGUGUCGGAGGUGUACUUUGUGCAGGCGCUGACACGACACCCCGGGCGGCACUUCUGGGACACGUUCACAAAGGCGGUGCUGCAGAAGGAGCGCAGCGCUGGUUUCGAGGGCGGCGGCGCGUCGCUGCCGAAGGACGGUGUGCAGGAGGAUGUCGACGCAGGCCCGGCCGCUGACGGCCCGCUGGGCCCGUGCAACGAUGUGCAGCCGCAGACCGUGCUUGGGGGUAGUGUGCCGGACAAGGCAGACGAGCUGCCGGGCAGCGGUGACAGGGGCGAUGGCGGCGACUCUGCGGAGCAGGCGGACGCAAGGACGAACGGUGCACAGUCCGUGCACGACACCAAGGUAGUUGACGUCUUCCUGCCGCUUGACGGGGGCCUGACUGAUGUCAUGGACUACUAUCGGUUGCUCGCUGAUAUUGGGCACACGUACCUACAGCUGAUCCCCUCCACAGCACAUAUGGAGAAGGUCACCAGGCUCGCCGCGCGCUACUGCAUCUUCACCAUCACCCACACUCAGAUGCUGCUGCACUGCCUGACGCUGUGGAAGGAGGCCAAGCUCGGCGACGGUGGCGGCUUUAUCGACUACGCGAAGGUGCGCAACCUGAAGAUCUGCUCGGGUGUCGCGGAGCUCUCUGCGGAGCUGAACCCUGACUCGCACAGCUCCAAUAAAGGGAAGCAGAGGUGGCGCACGAUCGAUCGCACAGCGUCGCUGCUUUUCACUCUUCAGCUGCUGGAGGCGAACUGCCGCUACUACUGUCUUGUCUUUCUUGUCAACUACUGUGGUCUUUUGCUGCGGAGCUACAGUCGCCUGACGGAUCAGAGGAAGGUGAAUCGCGUUCACGCCAACAUUGUGGAGCACCUGGACAUGGUGAGCCGGCUGGUCUUGGGCCUCGCGGGGGAGUACCCGAACGAGUACCUGAGCCGGCUGAUCAUGGCGAGCCUGCCGAAGCCGUCGAACUUCGACCGCGAGUGUCUGAGCUCGAUGGGCGCCAGCUCCCACAUGAGUAGCCAGAAGAUUCUCUCCUUUGGCAACGAUCAGCACCGCCACCUGUACGCCUCCGGCUACCCGUGGUCGCCUACGGAGUCUGCGCUGAUUCCGCUGAUCCUGGCUCGCAAUGUUCGUCUGCAUGUUCAGGAGAACGUGAGCCGUCAUUCGCAGGCGCAGCUGCGCUCCCCCGCAGAGCGCAUGAGUUACCACUACACGAACUGGAACUUUAAUACUGGACUUGUGAUCGUACCCGUGUGCAGCCUGUACAUGCUGAAGAAGUCGCUGCCGGAGUUUGUGCCCGGAAAGAGCACUUUUGCGCACUAUGCUACCAUGGCGGAGCAUGAGGAGCUUCACCUGCCCGGGGCAGCUGCAGAUGCCCACUGGCAGAGGGGCAGUGCUGCGGUGCAUGUGCCAGGGGACGGCGGUGGCGCAGCGCCCGGCUCACACCGGAACCCCCCGAUAUCGGAGGGCAGCGCUGGUGCUGAGAAGCGGGAGGCUCUUAAGAAGAAGUGCGAGGAGAGGCUCAUCAAAAAACGGCGGUACAUCAAUGCAGACCUCCACCUCAGCGAUGAGCGUACGUGCGUCGCCCUUUGCUUGGAGGAGGCAUGCGCUAUCGCUUUCCCUCAGUGCUUCUCGCAUCGAUGCUGCGGAAGAUGUCGGGGGAAAUUUCUAAUGAUGAGAUAUAUGGCGUGGAAGGGAAUCUAGUAAUGGGGGUGUACGGCCCUGCUUCCAGCGAGUGGCACAUCAUAGCAUCCAUCUUGCGCAAGCAUCUGGAGGGGUAAGGGGAGCGCGCUGUUACCUUGCCUCCUUGUGAUGAUGUGCUUCAGAAAACCAUGCGUGCUUUGGUGUAGCCUUGCUGACAUGGCUGCUGUUCGUUUCUCCUCGCGGCUGCAUGUAGUAAAACGCUGCGAUCGGUUUAGCGAUGACGCGUGCCGCAGGCGUGCUGCUGAGGCCGCCUACCGCUUUCUGUUUGUUGUUUUUCGUACGUUUUGCUUGCAUGUGUUUUCUUCCGUGCCUUGGGCGAUGUGAGCUGCUGCUCUGCCCCAUAGCGAUGCGGAGCCGGCGGUUUCCUGUUCCCUUUCGCUCUCCCGGUCUUCUCCGCCACCCGCUCUUUGAGCAUGUGCGCCUGCUCACUUGUACGCGAGCGCUUCCAGUCACACUCCCACGCGCCGCUGCUGAUGCUAGUGCUUCUGAUGCUGGAGCCGCCUACUCCCGGCUUCGCCUGAGGAUGCCGGCCACGGCGUGGUGGCACGAGGGCCGCGUGCCUGCUCUGUGGGGCCGCCGGGGGCCUGCGGCCUGGCCUUGGGUGCUGGCUGCGGACUGCUGGUGUGGGCGGGCAGUGGGCUGCGCUGGGGCUGCGCGCAUCCGGAGGCUGAGCGAGAGGAGCCCGCUAGGCGCGCGGCCCCGGCUCGACGGCAGGGCGCUGCGUCCUGGGCGAAGACUGCUGAGCCGUAUGCCUGCGAAGGUAGGCGAGCUGUGGUUGCAUGUGCGUGUAGGCCGGCGUGUUCAGGUAGAGGGGCACAUUGCGAAAAGGAAGAAUGGCGCUGUGCCUGCGCCUGUGUGUAAGCUCAUCUUAUCUCACGAUGUUGUUUUACUGUCCGCCAUAGCGUCGCGGAUGUGGCGGGAGAGAAUGUGUUUUGCGGCACCUAAUUAUUGAUUUCUCUUCAUCCUCACUUGGGCUGUACACAUAUGUGAUGCCCCUGUGCUCGCUAAGUGCGCCAGUUUGUGCUCGGCUCUUUGCCGUCGUCUUUUGUGUCUGUCAUACGCAUCUCUGCCGCCGCAGGGCACCACUAUGGCGGACGAAUCCUGGUGCAGCUGCGGCGGUUGUGGCUCCUGUCUCUUCUCGGCGAAGUUUGCUUUCCACGUUCUGCUCGUGGUUGUUCACCCAGAGUAGGCGGAAGGGAAGGACCAAGCACUGAUUCUUACCUCAUAUAGGCUUGAACUGCUUGGUGGACUGCUGCUUUUCUCCUUUUUUUUGCUGCGAUGUCUUUCUCGUUGCGGAGCGUGAGUGGCGCGACAUGAGCGGCUGUUGCACGGGCCUCACCGUCCCCUUGCCAUACCAUGGCGCACCCAAGUAUGCGGAAGAGGAUUUUCGUCUUCGAUUCUGAUGUGGAGCGCCUACUCCCGGCUUCGCCUGAGGAUGCCGGCCACGGCGUGGUGGCACGAGGGCCGCGUGCCUGCUCUGUGGGGCCGCCGGGGGCCUGCGGCCUGGCCUUGGGUGCUGGCUGCGGACUGCUGGUGUGGGCGGGCAGUGGGCUGCGCUGGGGCUGCGCGCAUCCGGAGGCUGGCGAGAGGAGCCCGCUAGGCGCGCGGCCCCGGCUCGACGGCAGGGCGCUGCGUCCUGGGCGAAGACUGCUGAGCCGUAUGCCUGCGAAGGUAGGCGAGCUGUGGUUGCAUGUGCGUGUAGGCCGGCGUGUUCAGGUAGAGGGGCACAUUGCGAAAGGAAGAAUGGCGCUGUGCCUGCGCCUGUGUGUAAGCUCAUCUUAUCUACGAUGUUGUUUUACUGUCCGCCAUAGCGUCGCGGAUGGGCGGGGAGAAUGUGUUUUGCGGCACCUAAUUAUUGAUUUCUCUUCAUCCUCACUUGGGCUGUACACAUAUGUGAUGCCCCUGUGCUCGCUAAGUGCGCCAGUUUGUGCUCGGCUCUUUGCCGUCGUCUUUUGUGUCUGUCAUACGCAUCUCUGCCGCCGCAGGGCACCACUAUGGCGGACGAAUCCUGGUGCAGCUGCGGCGGUUGUGGCUCCUGUCUCUUCUCGGCGAAGUUUGCUUUCCACGUUCUGCUCGUGGUUGUUCACCCAGAGUAGGCGGAAGGGAAGGACCAAGCACUGAUUCUUACCUCAUAUAGGCUUGAACUGCUUGGUGGACUGCUGCUUUUCUCCUUUUUUUUGCUGCGAUGUGCUUUCUCGUUGCGGAGCGUGAGUGGCGCGACAUGAGCGGCUGUUGCCACGGGCCUCACCGUCCCCCUUGCCAUACCAUGGCGCACCCAAGUAUGCGGAAGAGGAUUUUCGUCUUCGAUUCUGAUGUGGAGUCGCCUACUCCCGGCUUCGCCUGAGGAUGCCGGCCACGGCGUGGUGGCACGAGGGCCGCGUGCCUGCUCUGUGGGGCCGCCGGGGGCCUGCGGCCUGGCCUUGGGUGCUGGCUGCGGACUGCUGGUGUGGGCGGGCAGUGGGCUGCGCUGGGGCUGCGCGCAUCCGGAGGCUGAGCGAGAGGAGCCCGCUAGGCGCGCGGCCCCGGCUCGACGGCAGGGCGCUGCGUCCUGGGCGAAGACUGCUGAGCCGUAUGCCUGCGAAGGUAGGCGAGCUGUGGUUGCAUGUGCGUGUAGGCCGGCGUGUUCAGGUAGAGGGGCACAUUGCGAAAAGGAAGAAUGGCGCUGUGCCUGCGCCUGUGUGUAAGCUCAUCUUAUCUUACGAUGUUGUUUUACUGUCCGCCAUAGCGUCGCGGAUGUGGCGGGAGAGAAUGUGUUUUGCGGCACCUAAUUAUUGAUUUCUCUUCAUCCUCACUUGGGCUGUACACAUAUGUGAUGCCCCUGUGCUCGCUAAGUGCGCCAGUUUGUGCUCGGCUCUUUGCCGUCGUCUUUUGUGUCUGUCAUACGCAUCUCUGCCGCCGCAGGGCACCACUAUGGCGGACGAAUCCUGGUGCAGCUGCGGCGGUUGUGGCUCCUGUCUCUUCUCGGCGAAGUUUGCUUUCCACGUUCUGCUCGUGGUUGUUCACCCAGAGUAGGCGGAAGGGAAGGACCAAGCACUGAUUCUUACCUCAUAUAGGCUUGAACUGCUUGGUGGACUGCUGCUUUUCUCCUUUUUUUUGCUGCGAUGUGCUUUCUCGUUGCGGAGCGUGAGUGGCGCGACAGACGGCUGUUGCACGGGCCUCACCGUCCCCUUGCCAUACCAUGGCGCACCCAAGUAUGCGGAAGAGGAUUUUCGUCUUCGAUUCUGAUGGGAGCGCCUACUCCCGGCUUCGCCUGAGGAUGCCGGCCACGGCGUGGUGGCACGAGGGCCGCGUGCCUGCUCUGUGGGGCCGCCGGGGGCCUGCGGCCUGGCCUUGGGUGCUGGCUGCGGACUGCGGUGUGGGCGGGCAGGGGCUGCGCUGGGGCUGCGCGCAUCCGGAGGCUGGCGAGAGGAGCCCGCUAGGCGCGCGGCCCCGGCUCGACGGCAGGGCGCUGCGUCCUGGGCGAAGACUGCUGAGCCGUAUGCCUGCGAAGGUAGGCGAGCUGUGGUUGCAUGUGCGUGUAGGCCGGCGUGUUCAGGUAGAGGGGCACAUUGCGAAAAGGAAGAAUGGCGCUGUGCCUGCGCCUGUGUGUAAGCUCAUCUUAUCUCACGAUGUUGUUUUACUGUCCGCCAUAGCGUCGCGGAUGCGGCGGGGAGAAUGUGUUUUCGGCACCUAAUUAUUGAUUUCUCUUCAUCCUCACUUGGGCUGUACACAUAUGUGAUGCCCCUGUGCUCGCUAAGUGCGCCAGUUUGUGCUCGGCUCUUUGCCGUCGUCUUUUGUGUCUGUCAUACGCAUCUCUGCCGCCGCAGGGCACCACUAUGGCGGACGAAUCCUGGUGCAGCUGCGGCGGUUGUGGCUCCUGUCUCUUCUCGGCGAAGUUUGCUUUCCACGUUCUGCUCGUGGUUGUUCACCCAGAGUAGGCGGAAGGGAAGGACCAAGCACUGAUUCUUACCUCAUAUAGGCUUGAACUGCUUGGUGGACUGCUGCUUUUCUCCUUUUUUUUGCUGCGAUGUCUUUCUCGUUGCGGAGCGUAGUGGCGCGACAGACGGCUGUUGCACGGGCCUCACCGUCCCCUUGCCAUACCAUGGCGCACCCAAGUAUGCGGAAGAGGAUUUUCGUCUUCGAUUCUGAUGAUGGAGUCGCCUACUCCCGGCUUCGCCUGAGGAUGCCGGCCACGGCGUGGUGGCACGAGGGCCGCGUGCCUGCUCUGUGGGGCCGCCGGGGGCCUGCGGCCUGGCCUUGGGUGCUGGCUGCGGACUGCUGGUGUGGGCGGGCAGGGGCUGCGCUGGGGCUGCGCGCAUCCGGAGGCUGGCGAGAGGAGCCCGCUAGGCGCGCGGCCCCGGCUCGACGGCAGGGCGCUGCGUCCUGGGCGAAGACUGCUGAGCCGUAUGCCUGCGAAGGUAGGCGAGCUGCGGUGGUAUGCAGUGGCUCAAGGCCCGUAGUAUUUUGGGCGUCUGUGUCCAUAUAUGUAGAAAAGGUAGAUCCUUCUGUGUGUCUCUUAUUCUGAUGGAAUUAUAUUAUUGUGCUGCACAGGCGGCAGUGCGUGAGCUGAGUUUCGCUUCGGCGCCCAUUGAUGUAGAAGAAUAACGAGUGUCUCCUCACGCCUCGCAAAUGCUCUGUGCUGCUGUCUUGCUUCUGUGCCGCUUGUCCCCUCGACGGUGCGCCGCCUUCCCAUGUUGCCAUUACGUUCUUUUUCUUUUGGGGCGCUAAGUGGGGGCGACAGUAUUUGCGGCGUGCGUGCGGAUGAGCGUGAGUGCGGAGUGCGUUGCUUCUGCGGUGUAUUCUUUUUCGGGCUGUUUCUGCCGUUCUCUUUCCCCAUUCUUUCUCGUCCUCCGUGUCUCUCUCGUUUCAUGUGCGUUCAUCUUGCUGUGUCUCGCACCUCCUCCUCCUCUCUCCCUCUUGUUUGUGGCUUAUCUUCUGCGUCGUCUCUUGCGCCCGGUGUCCUCCCUUCCUCGCCGCCUCCCCCCUCCCCCUUGCGUCUCUCCCUCUUCCUACCGAG